rnacentral:rRNA from 1 species
UACGUAGGGGGCAAGCGUUGUCCGGAUUUAUUGGGCGUAAAGAGCGUGUAGGCGGCCAUGUAGGUCCGUUGUGAAAACUCGAGGCUCAACCUCGAGACGCCGAUGGAAACCAUGUGGCUAGAGUCCGGAAGAGGAGAGUGGAAUUCCUGGUGUAGCGGUGAAAUGCGCAGAUAUCAGGAAGAACACCCGUGGCUAAGGCGGUUCUCUGGGCCUUACCUGACGCUGAGGAGCGAAAGCGUGGGGAGCGAACAGG